GGACUGAACGGCUGGGCCCGCUUCGCCUAAUACAUUGCAAGUCGAGCGAAUCUCAGGGAGUUUGCUCCCUGAGAUUAGCGGCGGACGGGUGAGUAACUCGUGGGCAACCUGCCUAUAAGACUGGGAUAACUUCGGGAAACCGGAGCUAAUACCGGAUAAUGUUUUUUGACUCUUGUCGAGAAACUGAAAGAUGGCGUCACGCUAUCACUUAUAGAUGGGCCCGCGGCGCAUUAUCUAGUUGGUGAGGUAACGGCUCACCAAGGCGACGAUGCGUAGCCGACCUGAGAGGGUGAUCGGCCACACUGGGACUGAGACACGGCCCAUACUCCUACGGGAGGCAUCANUAGGGAAUCUUCCGCAAUGGACUAAAGUCUGACGGAGCAACUCCGCGUGAGUGAUGAAGGUUUUCGGAUCGUAAAACUCUGUUGUUAGGGAAGAACAAGUNCCGUUCUAAUAGGGAGGUACCUUG
rnacentral:rRNA from 1 species